UUUUGCCCUCUCUGAAUCAAAUUAUUUUAUUCGUGUAUCUCAAGUUAUGAUUGAAUCUAUAUAGUCAAUCCUCUGUAUUCAACUAUUUUUUUUGAAUUUUGUUAUUUCCGUAGUUUCUUUUAUUCAACAUCGUUGCUUAUUCUCUUUUAAACUCAUGAGCACUUUAUAUUAGAAUUCUUUCUUUUGAAGUCAUCCAGAUUUAGUUACUUGGCAGAACUACAAAGGAAAACUCUAUAGUAGUAAAAGGCUUGAGUGGGGAGAAAAAAAAUAUUAUUGAGGGACAAACAUGAGGGUUGUGUGACAUUGAGCGAGUGUAAAUACGUGAGGGUGUGUUGUGAGGUCCUAACUUUGUAUUUAUUUAUUGUAUAAGAAUGUCAACCGCAGGUAUUGGUUCUGAAAACAUAGAAAGUGUAAAUGCCAAUCGAGAUAUAUUGGUUGCCCUUCAAGCAAUGCACCAAGAAUUUUCAAACUUGAGCAUGAGAUUAGAUAAUAUGCAAGAGAGGCUCAAAGAUAAUAAAAAUAGGGGUAGAGUCCCACUGAAGGAAAGGAGGAACGAACAACCACGUGCACAACCACGAGUUGGUGAUGAAUACUUUGAUGACAUGGAAGAAGAUAGUGAAAAUGAAUAUGUUGAUAUAGUAAGACAUGGUCAAGGAGGAGAUAGAAGAGAAGGAAAACCACGGAGGGUAGUGAGGAAUGAAGAAGGAAUUGAUAGGAAUUUGGGUAGUAUUAAGAUGCGUAUCCCUUCUUUUCAAGGGAUGAGUGAUCCGGCUGCAUAUCUAUUCUGGGAAAGAAAUGUUGAGAAGGUGUUUGAUUGCCAUAAUUACUCGGAGAAGGAGAAGUUAAAAUUGGAAAUUACCGAAUUCACCGAUUAUGCUUCAACAUGGUGGGAUAAAAUAGUUGUGAAUAGAAGGUAUAAUUUGGAGAGAUCAGUUUCUACUUUGGAAGAGAUGAAGGCUAUUAUGAGGAAAUAAUUUGUUCCGUCACACUACCAUGGAGAUAUGCAUAUGAAAGAAAUGCAUGAUGGUUACAAAAAUAGAUAUUCAUUUGAAAAGGAUGGAAGGAAGGUGACACUUUUACCUUUAAAACCGAAGCAAGUUUUUAAAGAUCAAAUGAAGUUGAGAGAUUCUCAUAGGAAUAAUGAAAAAGAGAAAUAAAUAGAGCAUGAAAAAAAGAAGAGAAAAAAAUAAAUGAGAGAGAAAGAAAAGAUGAUUUUGUGAAUAUUGAGAGACCCAAUGAGCAAGAGAAAAAUAGGGAAGAGAAAAUGAAAAAUAUUUGUGUGGAAAAAGAAGAUGAGGUAAACGAGAGAAAAAUAAGCAUAUAUGCAAACUCCAGAUAGUGUAUGAAAAAGAGGGAAGAGAAAAUGAAAAAUAAUUGUACGGAAAACGAAGAUGAGAUAAAAGAGAGAGAGAGAAAUAAUCCUAUAUGAAAAAUCCAGAGAGUGUAUGAGUGCUUAUAAAUCUAGGUCACAACUUGUUGUUCUUUUGAAUAAGGGAUCUUAUUUGAGCACUAAUGAACUAACCGUUCCAUUGCCUAGUGUUUCUUCUUCUCUUUUGCAGGAAUUUAAGGAUAUCUUUCCCAAGGAUAUAUCAAAUGUAUUGCCACUAAUUCUAGGAAUUGAACAUCAAAUUGAUCUCAUCCUGAGAGAGUCUGUUACAAAUAGGCCAGCUUAAUGAAGCAACUCCGAGCAGACGAGAGAGUUCCAGAGGAAAGUACAUAAGCUUUUAACAAAGGGACACGUCUGUAAAGAUCAAAAGCCAAUUGCAUUAUUCAGUGAAACUCUUGGAGGAGUUACAAUGAAUUAUUCAACAUAUGAUAAGGAGCUUUAUAAAUUGGUGAGGUCGUGGGAGACUUGGCAAUACUACCUUUGGCCUAAGGAGUUCGUUCUUCGGACGGACAUGAAUCUUUGAAGCAUUUGAAAGGCAAAGGAAAGCUCAACCGAAGGCAUGUCAAGUGGGUUGAACUUAUAAAAACAUUUCCUUAUGUGAUUC
rnacentral:lncRNA from 1 species